rnacentral:lncRNA from 1 species
GGGCCUGCCACCCAUUUCUAUGGCCACGACAGGGUUUUCAUCGGUUGUGGCUGUUAGAAUUAGUCGCAUGCGCUUCAGGCGGAGCGUUCGAGCCAGUAGGUUGAGCUUGAUGAUUCUUCAUCAAAAGCUGGUUCUGCUUUUCAGUGAGAAGUAAAAUAGAGAUCAAAUCAAAAAAUUUGGUGAACUUAUGUGCCUUAUACUGUUGAUGUAGGACAAUAUUGGUGGCAUUAAAGGUCGAAGGUGUUUUCUCUAGAAAAUCCUCUUCGGUUAAGUCCUCUUCAUAGAACUUAAGCAGUGAUCGGAUUCUACAAACUUCAGAAUUGUAUUCAUUCACAUACUUAAAGUCUUGGAAGCGUAAAUGCUGCCAAUUUGAUAGGAUUAAAUGCACAUCACAAAGUAGCACACAAAUGUCCUAUUGAUUUUCCUUAUUAACACUAAGAUUUGUCAAUUGCGGCAUAUAAAAAUAAGGGUCUUUCCCGCUGAAGAUUGUUUUAUCUAACUACUUAAAAUGUCACAAAAACUGGGCUACUGUCCCUAUUGACUAGCCACCGAAACAUAAUUAUUAGACCGACUUACACUUAUCUAAAGUCUAUGAAAUUUUAUAUGCAGACACUAGACACACAGAGCUACACUCACACAAAGUUUUGGGAUUUUUGGAGUUGAUUUGAUAUUUAAAUUAAAUCGAACAAAAACAGGACAAAAACAAAUUUUAAAUAGUUCACAAAUUAAGAAAAAUGAAUUAGGGGAAUUGCUAUCCACCACCAAAUAAUCAUACAAACAUGUUAUGUUCCAUUCAAAAUCCUUUUAUUUCCGGAUGAAGAUGCUCAAGUUGGCUCAAUAUUAGAACUCAACCUAUUACUCUUUCUUAUGUAGUAUGUUAAGAGAACGACGUUUUCAACUUAACUUAGUCUCUAGCAAGUAAUCUAGAAUGGUGUGUUCAUAAAUUUAACAAGUAGAAAUCAUUAAGAACGAAAAGAGUUUGAGUCAUCACAUGGCAUCAUAAGUACUAGCGUUGCCUUACUUAUCCUAGAAAUUGGUUCACAUGUUAAUUGCAAUUAACAAGUACUACUCUAGAACAUAUGUAGGUCCUCAUUCGACAAGGGCAUGCACACACAUAUUCAUAGCAUUAGAAUCCUAGAUAUGCUUACCUAAGUAUGCAUCUGUAGAAAACACAUAAAAAAUUCAUCAAUGAGACAAGUAGUGAACCAAUUUUCAUCCAUUCAUAAAAGUAAUUCAAAGAAAUGUCAUAACAAACUUGCAAUCAUAUUCGGGGCUUCAAAACAACCCCUAACUACUAAAAAUUUAGUUACACAUAAUUCUCAAAUAAAACCAAAAGUAAGACAUGAGUUUGAGAAGAUAAAACCGAGAGAAGAGAAUGCCAAGAUUUCCUCCUUCCUCCUCUAUUGCUUCCCGUCAGCUCCCUUUUUAUCUUGCUACCCCAUUUUCUUCUCCUUAACUCACCCACUAAUAGCCAUUUGGUGAUGACAAUAAGUGAGGAAAUGGUAAAAUAAUUGUAACUCUUUGGGUAACCUUUAUGCCAAUUACUUCCUCUUAAUCCUCAUCUUUAAAUCCAUUUCCUCUGAUAUUUGAAUAGGUGUCAGCUGGCUUGUUCUUGACUGCAUCAGUUUUGGCUGCUAGAUUUAUUGGGUUUAUUGCUUUCAUUGCAGUUACAAACUGCUCAGUCUCUUGUGAACCUUCUAGUGUUAAAACAGCUAUAAUUUCUUCUAGAAAAAUGAUAUUAACAAUCCGAAAAAUACUCUAGAAAAUAGACAUCCGUAGCUUUCCAAGAAUAUAAGGUUCAUUCUCUAAUUCAUUCUGAGAUAUUCACAACUUGCUUCCAAAGUCAACUGACCUGCACAGGCAGUUUGACGAAUUUGUUACUUAAAAUCCCUCUUGUGCUAUUUUUCUUUUCUUUGCUUGACAAAUCCUACAAAACACAAAAACAAAGUAAAUAGCUUAAAAAUAUAAGGAACUAACUAAGAAAAGACAAGUGAAUUUGAUGUAAAAUAUAUAUAAAUAUGAGCUUAUCACAGUUAUGCCAUGCUUCAGGCAUGUAAACAUUUUUUUGGUGAUCGAAGCAAUCGGCCAAAGCAACCCAGAUGGUGCAUG